AGCGGUAAGGCCUUUCGGGGUACACGAGCGGCGAACGGGUGAGUAACACGUGGGUGAUCUGCCCUGCACUCUGGGAUAAGCUUGGGAAACUGGGUCUAAUACCGGAUAUGACCGCAGCAUGCAUGUGUUGUGGUGGAAAGAUUUAUCGGUGCAGGAUGGGCCCGCGGCCUAUCAGCUUGUUGGUGGGGUAAUGGCCUACCAAGGCGACGACGGGUAGCCGACCUGAGAGGGUGACCGGCCACACUGGGACUGAGACACGGCCCAGACUCCUACGGGAGGCAGCAGUGGGGAAUAUUGCACAAUGGGCGGAAGCCUGAUGCAGCGACGCCGCGUGAGGGAUGAAGGCCUUCGGGUUGUAAACCUCUUUCAGCAGGGACGAAGCGUGAGUGACGGUACCUGCAGAAGAAGCACCGCA
rnacentral:rRNA from 1 species